UAAAAGAUACUAAAUAGUUCAGGGGCUUAUUUGCUAAUCACGUGCGCAUCUUUUUUGUUGACGACGACAAACCCUAGCGAGUUUAUCCGACUUUUGAAAUCGUCGUCGCGUCAGGGAAAUUACUCGCCGAGAUCUGAGAGACGGUGUUGUAAGAUGACAUCUCACCAUAGUUUCGGCGCCGAAGUUAUAAGCAGCGACGAUAGAUCGUAUUCGCCGAGAUCAGAGAGAUUUCUAAAGCCUGACAACCAUGGAGCGGUGCUCUAAGAAAACAAGGCUCCAUCGACAUGGCCUUAACACAUGGUGGGUUUGGAGUUUUCUUGUCCCUUGGCUCGUAGAGUAUCCAUGGCUUUAACCCUCCUAGACCUUGAGCUACAUAUCCAAAGGAUAAGAUCUGGUCCAUUACGUGUUGGAAAUAUCCAGCGGGUUUGCUAAACACUCGUACUUGAAUCCCGAGUCUCGCGUCUGCUCUUGAUA